rnacentral:rRNA from 1 species
AGUGAACGCUGGCGGUAGGCCUAACACAUGCAAGUCGAACGGCAGCACAGUAAGAGCUUGCUCUUACGGGUGGCGAGUGGCGGACGGGUGAGGAAUACAUCGGAAUCUACUUUUUCGUGGGGGAUAACGUAGGGAAACUUACGCUAAUACCGCAUACGACCUACGGGUGAAAGCAGGGGAUCUUCGGACCUUGCGCGAUUGAAUGAGCCGAUGUCGGAUUAGCUAGUUGGCGGGGUAAAGGCCCACCAAGGCGACGAUCCGUAGCUGGUCCGAGAGGAUGAUCAGCCACAAUGGAACUGAGACACGGUCCAGACUCCUACGGGAGGCAGCAGUGGGGAAUAUUGGACAAUGGGCGCAAGCCUGAUCCAGCCAUACCGCGUGGGUGAAGAAGGCCUUCGGGUUGUAAAGCCCUUUUGUUGGGAAAGAAAAGCAGCAGGUUAAUACCCCGCUGUUCUGACGGUACCCAAAGAAUAAGCACCGGCUAACUUCGU